UUGGGCUUACAGGGGAAAAGCAGGUGUAUAGAAGACUUUCCCGGGGGAAGGGGUGUGAGUGUUGCUGAAAGAGAGGAUGAAAGGAAUGAUGGAUGGAUGUUCAGCACACUUCCUGGUCAGGAGGAGCAUCACACUAAAAGAAGAUUGAACAACCAAACAGUACCUGGGUAGAAGUAGAUUACAUCUCGUGGAUGCAGGAGUUCAGAGCAGCAGGGAUUCUGAAGAACCAGUUGGGAUACGUGUGUCUUCCUUAAUCCAGCCUCUCUGUCACCCAAGAUGUACCUGUGUUUGGCCAGUGGAACUUUAAUUGGGACUGGAAAAGAAAUGGGAAAGGGGUGCAUUCCAAGAGGGGAAACUGCCUGGACUCAGGGAAUGCUCACCAGUCAGCAAGCAGAGCAGAGUGGCCCCAAGGAAGAGAGACUGGGUGAGGAGUUGGGCGAUCAUUUGGAGAUGGACCCGAGCCCAAGGCUGUGACCCAAAUUCAGCGAUGGGAAGCAAGUCCGAGGUAAGGAAACUGAGCACAGAGAAGCCAAAAAACUUGCCCAAGAUCACCCAGCUAGAAAGUGGAAGAACCCAAACUCCAGCUCAGGCAAUCUCCAGAGCCCGUUCUCUUAAUAGUGUUCAUUAAGAAUCAGCAUGGAGAAGUGUUUAAUUCUUACAGACUUUGAAGUAAUGAAAAUAGUCCAAGGACCUUCUUAUGGGUUGAACCGUCCCUUCUUUAUCCCUAAAGAUGUGUUGACAUCCUAACCCUUAAGACCUCAGAAUGUAACCCUAUUUGAGGACUUCCCUGGUGGUCCAGUGGUUAAGAAUCUGCUUUCCAAUGCAGGAGAUGAGGGUUCGAUCCCGAAUCAGGGAACUAAGAUUCCAUAAUUGCCCUUAGCUGUGGGGCAACUAAGCCCACGCGCCGGAAGUACUGAGCCUACACGCACCAGAGCUCACGCACCACAAUUGAUGUAGUUGUGAAGACCUGAUACAGCCAAAGAAACAAAUAAAUACAUAUAAAAAGAAUGUAACCCUACGGAGAUUCCUUUAUGGAGGUGAUCACCCUUAACAUGAGGUCUACAGGGAGGGGCCUAAUCCCACAGGAUUGGUGUCCUAAUGAAAAGGGAAAUUCUGGACACAGAGAGACACACAAGGAGAACAUCACGGGAAGAUGAAGGUAGAAACCGGGGUGAUGUAUCUAGAGGCCAAGGAAUACCAAGGACUGCCAGCAACCCGCCAGAAGCUAGGAGAGAGGUGAGGAACACAUGCUCCCUCACAGCCCUUAGAAGGAGGCAACUCUGCCAACACCAGCCUUCUAGUCUGCAUACUGUGGGAGAAUCAAUUCCUGUUGUGUAAGCCACCCGGUCUGUGGUACUGGAUGGCAGCCCUGGCAAACCAAGGCAGACCUCCAUCUCCACUGUGGGCUCUGAGGAGCCAGGGAUCCUGAGCCAGGAAUCCAAGGGCAGGCUGGGGGCUGUGAAGUACGCAGUCAGUAUUCCAUGAAAGGCUGGAGGGGGGUCAGGUCUGCAGAUUCUUGAAGCCACUGGCUUUUUCGUUGCCUCGUUCCUGGUAAGGCCAUUUCACAGCUUGUUAUUGUGUGGUCGUUUCUCUAGCUGAGAAGGCCCUGAGAAGCCUUUUUUUUUUUUUUAUGUAGGGGACCACGGAGAAGGCAGUGGCACCCCACUCCAGUACUCUUGCCUGGAAAAUCCCAUGGAUGGAGGAGCCUGGUAGGCUGCAAUCCAUGGGGUCGCUAAGAGUCGGACACGACUGAGCAACUUCACUUUCACUUUUCACUUUCACACAUUGGAGAAGGAAAUGGCAACCCACUCCAGUGUUCUUGCCUGGAGAAUCCCAGGGACGGGGGAGCCUGGUGGGCUGCCGUCUAUGGGGUCGCACAGAGUCGGAAACGACUGAAGUGACUUAGCAGCAGCAGCGGCAGCAUGCAGGGGACCAAGAGCAAGAAGACCAGACUUCUCAGCCAAAGGCAUCAGCAGAUCAUCUAUAUUGUGUCAUUCCUAAUGUCUGGAUGUCAAAGGUACCCACAUUUCGUCAGUACUCCUGAUAGUAAGACUGAAUUGCAGUUAAGAAACCAACUUGUAACGGGAAGGCAGAGGGGAGGAAGGAGGCGGUACACCACCUGUAUAUAAAACUGAUAGCCAAUGGGAAUUUGUUGUAUGACUCAAGGAACUCAAACCAGGGCUCUGUAAUAGCCUGAAGCGGGGGGAGGUGGCAGGGAGGGUCAAGAGAGAGGGGACAUAUGUAUACCUAUGACUGAUUCAUGUUGAUGUAUGGCACAAACCAAUGCAAUACCGUAAAGCAAUUAUCCUUCAAUUAAAAAAUACAACUUGUAAAAGAAAUUGUCUGUGAAUGAAAUCAGAUUCCAGGGGUGUCCUUGGGAUCUGGUACCACCCAAAAGGGAUCCAGGAAAAGUCAUCAAAUUGUAAAAGCCACAGGGAUCCUUACAGGUGAUGCUGCCAACAUCACUUCUUUCACAAGGAAAAGAAAAGGAAGCUUGGGGAGGAAAAGUGAUUUCCCCAGGUCACAUAACUGCUCAGCAGCAGAGUCAAAAGUAAUAACAAUCAUGGUUGCGACAACAGUGAGAGUAGCUUAAAUGUAUCUCAUGCUUAUUAUGAGCCAGGCCUGAUACUAAGUGCCAACAGGGGUCAUUUCAUUUGCUCCUUAUGGUAACCUGGUAACCUCAGAGGUAGGCCUGCUCUGUGGUGAAGAGAUGGGGUUUAGUGAGAUCAGAUGACGUCAGGCAAGUGGUAAGUGGUGGAACCUGCAUUCCGCUGGGGCAAGUCCAACUUUAACUGCCUCUCCCAACACCUGAGCUGUGUCUGGCCUCCUUGCCUUGUGCACAUAUGCUGCCUGCAGGGAGCCACGAGGUGACAGGAAAGGGCAGGUCUGCUGUAAGACACGGGCUGGUGUGCAUACCUGUGGCUGAUUCAUGCUGAUGUUUGGCAGAAAACAACAGAACUCUGUAAAGCAAUUAUCCUUCAGUUAAAAAAAAAAAAAGACAGGGGCUGGUGGUCCCGAGCACCCAGAGAGGACCACAUGCCUAUCGCUGUUACCAUGCAGAUACACAUACCCAGGACGGGUACAUGGGCCACAGCCAUCUGCCUGCUGGGCUCCGCAAAGAACAGUUUCCCCCAGCAAACGGGGUCUUUUACUGCCUUUGGAAAGGAGGCUCCUGGCUGAAAGUCCAUCUGAACAACUCUUGAGACUCCAGGAGGGACCUCCCUAGUGGUCCAGUGGUUAAGACUCUGCCUUCUGAUGCAGGAGACUCAGGUUCGAUCCCUGGUCAGGCAACUAAGCCAACGCGCCACAAGGAAGACCCAAGCACAGUCAGGGUAAGAAUAAAUAAAUAAAUAAAGACUCCAGGAAACAAGGCCCAAGGUGGGUAAAGAGUGAUUGUUUGUACUCCCCACCAGGCCAAGGAACGCCAGCUCUGCACAGGACUGUGGGCACCCACGGUGGAGCAGAGUGGAAAGAAAAGUGGAGUCAGAGAAAACUGGGUCCAGGGCCAGCCAUUUCUGAGCUGUGUGCUGAGACCAGUUACUUAGCCUUCCGGGGCCUCAUUUCCACAAUUCACAACCAGGCAGCUGCUGGGAGGGUAACAGAUGAGGUAUGCAAAACAUACGGGUGCUCCAGAAAUAUUGUUCUGCUUCAUUUUCCCUUGAGGAAAGCCAGGUGCAGAACUACGGCCUUAGGGGUAUGUGAACUCACCUGUGUGUGAGACUAUACACAUCUUGUCUCUCAUACAGAAAGCUGAACCCUGUCUCUAAGUGACUGGUAAAAAGUUGCCUUUCAUUUUUAAAUUUUUUAACUGGAGGAAAAUUGCUUUACAGUGUCAUGUUGGUAAAAAUUUGCCUUUUAGAUAAACCUCAAAAUUAAGGUGGUUCUCCAUCUAGCAUUUUUUAAAAAGAAUGGAAGUAGAGUUGAUUUACAAUACUCUGUUAGUUUCAAGUAUAUAGCAAAGUGAUCCUAUAUAUAUAUAUAUAUAUAUACACACACACAUAUAUAUAUAUAUAUACUAUUUUUCAGAUUAUUUUCCAUUAUUAUUAUAGGAUAUUGAUUAGAGUUCCCUGUGCUAUACAGUAUAUCUUUGCUUCUUAUCUAUUUUAUAUAUGGUAGUGUGUAUCUGUUAAUACCAUACUUCUAAUUUAUCCAUCCCCUCUCUUUUCCAUUUGGUAACUAUGAGCUUAUUUUCUGUGUCUGUGAUGUGUUUCUGUUUUUUAUAUAGAUUAAUUUGUGUUAUUUUUUAGAUUUAACAUAUAAGUGAUAUCAUGUAAUAUUUGUCUUUCUCUGACUUCACUAAUAUUCUUUAGGUUCAUACAUGUUGUUGCAAAUGGCAAUAUUUCAUUCUUUUUUAUGGCUGAGUUAUAUACAUAUAUAUAUAUAUACGCCACAUUUUCUUAAGCCAGUUGUCUGUUGCUGGGCACUUGUGGUGUCUACACGUCUUCGCUAUUGCAAAUAGUGCUUCUGUGAAUGUUGGGGGCGCAUGUAUCUUAGUGUUUUUAUCUUUUCCAGAGUGGGACUGCUGGAUCGUAUGGUAGUUCUAUUUUUAGAUUUUUAAGGAAUAUCUUUAUUGUUUUCCAUCGUAUUUACACAUCAAUUUACAUUCCUCCCAACAGUGUUGGAGGGUUGUCUCUUCUCCACAUCCGCUCCAGUAUUUAUUAUUUGUAGACUUCCUCAUGAUAGCCAUUCUGACAGGUAUGUUACCUCAUUGUGGUUUUGAUUUGCAUUUCUCUAAUAUAAUUGGCAUAUUGAGCAUCUUUUCAUGUGCCUGUUGGCCAUUUCUGACUUUUUUAGAGGAAUGUCUAUUUAGGUCUUCCACCCAUUUUUUGAUGGGGUUGUUUUCUUGAUAUUGAGUUGUAUGAGCUGCUUGUAUAUUUUGGAUAUUAACCCCUUGUUGAUUGCACAAUCAGCAAAUUUUUUUUUCCCCCUCAUUCAGGAGGUUCCCUUUUUGUUUUGUUGAUCGUUUCCUUUGCUGUGCAAGAGCUUUUAAGUUUGAUUAGGUUCCAUUUAUUUAUUUUUGGCUUUAUGUCUUUUGCCUUGGGAAACUAAGAAAACAUUGCUACGAUUUAUGUCUGAGAAUAUUUUGCCCCUACUCCCCUUUAUGAGUUCUAUAGUGUCAUAUCUUACACUUAGAUUUCUAAACCAUUUGAGUGUAUUUUUGUGUAUGACGUGAGGGUGUGUUCUCUCUUCACUUAUUUACAUGCAGUUGUCCAGCUUUCACAACACCACUUGCCAAACAAACUGUCUUUUCUCCAUUGCCUAGUUUUGCCUCCUUUGUCAAAGAUGAAUUGAAUAUAGGUGUGAGUUUAUCUCUGGGUUAUUCUGUACCAUUGAUCUGUGUGUCUGUUUUUGUGUCAAUGCCAUGCUGCUUUGAUUAUUUAGCUUUGUAUCAACAGUAUAGUCUGAAGUCUGGGAGGGUUAUGCCUUCAGCUUUGUUUUUUUGACCCCCUAUGCUGAAGUUGAGACUCCAAUACUUUGGCCACCUGAUGCAAAGAACUGACUCAUUGGAAAAGACACUGAUGCUGGACAAGAUUGAAGGCAGGAGGAGAAGGGGACGGCAGAGGAUGAGAUGGUUGGAUGGCAUCACUGAUUCGAUGGACAGGAGCUUGAGCAGGCUCUGGGAGUUGGUGAGGGACAGGGAAGCCUUGCAUUCUGCAGUCCGUGGGGUUACAGAGAGUCGGAUAUGACUGAGCGACUGAACUGAACUGAGGGUUGCUUUGGCCAUUCUGAGUCUUUUGUGGUUCUGUAUAACUUUUAGGAUUAUAUGUUCUAGUUCUGUGAAAAAUGUCAUAUGAGUAUUUUGAUAGGGAUCACAUUAAAUCCAUAGAUUGCUUUGCGUAGUGUGGUCAUUUUAACAAUAUUCUUCCAAUCCAGGAGCAUGGGAUGUUGUUCUGUUUCUUUGAAUCAUAUUUCAUUUCUCUUAUGAUAAUGUGUUUUUCCCUGUCUUAUGGGUAUGAACAUGUAUAAUCCUCCAACUAUGUAUUAAUAAAGAAAAAUAAAUGCUGAACAAGACCAUUAAAAAAGCCACAAAAACCA